UACGUAGGGGGCGAGCGUUGUCCGGAUUCAUUGGGCGUAAAGAGCUCGUAGGCGGCUUGGUAAGUCCGCUGUGAAAGUCAGGGCUCAACCCUGGGAAAGCCAGUGGAAACUGCCAAGCUAGAGUCCGGGAAGAGGCGAGUGGAACUCCUGGUGUAGCGGUGAAAUGCGCAGAUAUCAGGAAGAACACCAAUGGCGAAGGCAGCUCGCU
rnacentral:rRNA from 1 species